UCUCUGUGAGUGCUAAUGCCAUAACGAAUAGGAAAAAGCAAUAAAAAUAAAUGAAUGCAGUCUUUUUUUUGCUGAAAAUGUCACAAAUAUAAGGAGUCUGACAGCAUAUCUGGUCUUCCAGUAACACCUUUGAAGGCAUGUGAGGACAAAGAUCAUCCUUCCCUUAGGACCACCUGAAUUAGGUGAUGUAUGGGAAAUCAGAUGCUGAAUGGGAUGCUACCUUGGAGUUUGCAUGUAUCUGCAAGAAACUGAAACAUGAGCACUGUCAUGGGAAGAACUGCAUUUCUGAAAGCUGCUCAAGCACUAACAGUAUCCCCUGAACCCACUCAAUUUUGGUCCAACCUUGGCUGGAAUACUUUCUCAACUCGUCCUGUGUGGGUAUCUCUAUGCUGCUCAUGUGUGAAAGAAUGAAUCUCACACAAGAAAUACCUGCUGUGAUUUUGUCACUAUUUUGUGAUUCAGUGAUGAUAUUUGUUUGCUCAGAUGGCGAGUGUGUCCACAGCUUUUCUCACCUACUUCUUUCACUCCAGAGCUCUUACCUCCAGAGAGUUUUUAACUAAAGCUCUGCUUGAGCCUGCCAUUCCUUUAGAGCACCUGUCUUUGAUCCUCUCCACUGACCUGGGCACAUGAUGAGUUGACCAUCUGGAUGCUACUUACUGACGUGUGUCUAACAGGACAGACUGAAUAAGUUGAAGAAGAGUGAGAAGCCUACUUCUAAACCAUUAAUUCCGAGGCCUUGUUGAUCCCCCGUGUCAGGUCAGCCUGUCCUCACAGAUCUGCCAAUCCUGCUCAUAACUCAACUGGAUUCUGGA